rnacentral:rRNA from 1 species
CUUUUAAUUGGGGGCUGGGAUGAAAGGUUUUAUGGGGAAUAGCUGUCUUAGAAUGAAUAAAUUGAAUUUAAGUCCUGCAUAAAAACUUGCAGGUGCUCUUAAGGGACGAGAAGACCCUGUGGAUUUUUAUUUGUUAAAAAAUAAAUUUUAUAAUAUUUUAUUUUUUAUUCAAAUUUGGUUGGGAUGACAGUAAAAUUAACUUUAUUGAAAAGAUAUAGUAUAGAUCCUUUUUAAGGAAAAAAGAACAAAUUACCCCAGGGAUAACAGCGUAAUACUUUUGGACAGGACAAAUGGAUAAAAGUGUUUGCGACCU